rnacentral:rRNA from 1 species
AUUGAACGCUGGCGGCAGGCUUAACACAUGCAAGUCGAGCGAGCGGCGCACGUGUGAGUAAUGUCUGGGAAACUGCCUGAUGGAGGGGGAUAACUACUGGAAACUGUAGCUUAUACCGCAUACCAUCAUCUGUGCCCAUAGGGGAUUAGCUAGUAGGUAGGGUAAUGGGUCACCUAGGCGACGAUCCCUAGCUGGUCUUAGAGGAUGACAAGCAACACUGGAACUGAGACACGUUCCAGACUCCGACGGGAGGCAGCAGUGGGGAAUAUUGCACAAUGGGCGCAAGCCGGAUGCAGCCAUGCCGCGGGUGUGAAGAAGGCCUUCGGGUUGUAAAGCACUUUCAGCGAGGAGGCGUUGCUCGCAGAAGAAGCACCGGCUAACUCCGUGCCAGCAGCCGCGGUAAUUC